rnacentral:tmRNA from 1 species
GCGAAUAUGAGUAUUUGUCAAUGUAAAUUAAAGAAUCAUCGCCACUUAAAAACGCGAAUGCCAAAUUUAAAUGGCAAACAACAACCUUCUUACGCUUUAGCAGCUUAAUAACCUGCAGGCGUGCUCCUGCCUCGCAUCGCCCAUGUGCCGGGAUUGGGGCUUAAACCUAGUGGGAUACGCCGCCUAGCCUCCGCCUGUGGCUAACGGAAGAAGACGAUCAGGCUGACCCGAAGGGAAUCCGGUGACGGGGAGUUCCGAGGGUGACAUCAAAACUGUCACUACACCCGUAGAAGCUUGUGUGGCGAUGUUUUCGGACAGGGGUUCAAAUCCCCUCGCCUCCACCA